CCUGGGACAAGGUCGGAGACAGGCCAGUCAUGUGUGAAAUGAGCACAAAGUGCGCGGCCCUGGGAGAAGCAGCCGCCGCAGCUCCCGGGAGGCUGAGCCGUGUCAGACCGAGUGGGGUAUGGGGAGCAGCGCAAGUUGUAAGAGCAGGUGGUCAUUGGCUGGAGCCUGGACAAAGGACCAAGGGGCUGGGGCCCACCUGGCCUUCAGCCUAAGUGACUGCCCUGCACGUGGGCAUCUGGGGCAGGGGGUGCAACCCUGUCCUGUUGCCUUCCGGGAUGCUGGUUGUCUGCCUGCCCCUACACCCUCCCCUCACUCCACGUCCUCUCCUGGACCGUCCUCUGAGUCACUGGAUCCCGUGUGGUCUUCUACACAAGAAAAAUGCAGCAGGAACCGAGAAGUGUGAGAGGAGAAGGCCAUGGCACCCCACUCCAGUACUCUUGCCUGGAAAAUCCCACAGACGGAGGAGCCUGGUAGGCUGCAGUCCAUGGGGUCGCACAGAGUCGGAC
ensembl:lncRNA